AGGAUUUGUUUUUGUUAUGGAAGGAGCAAAAUUCGUCUUUAAAUACUAUUAGCGCAUAAUCAUAAAAUCUUAAAAAACAAAUUUGUAUGGGAGAAUAUUUUCUCCGACACAGCACAUGCGUUCAAUUAAACAUUUUGAAAAUCUUGUCUCGGUGAUGGAUUUGAUGAAAGUUUAGUUGGGUUAAGUUAACUAUCGGGAACAUACCUCAAAACCGUAAAUAUAUUCCACCUUCGAAAUUUUUCCCAUUUUAACCGCUGUCCAUAUGUUCAGUCAAAUAUAUAAACGUAUUCAGAUUUUAGUUGCUCCAGACCACUAUUCCUUUAGCGCCCUUUUAUAAAAACAAUUCAUAUUUGUCGCUCUAUAAAACACUAUGUUAUACCUUAAUGCGCUGGUGUGAACUAUAGGACAGGGUUAAUAAUGAAAAUAAAAACCUACUAGUUUACCAAGUCUUAUAAUAAUAUGAUUUACCUCUUAACAACUAGCACUCGGGGGCCAAUGCUCCUUUGUCCUUCCCCCCCCCUUAAAUCCGCCCCUGGGAAAAUUUUAAGUACGUCUGUAUAGUAGGUACAGGGUUCAUGUAAUUCGUUCAACUGGAAUACGCUUUAUUUUAUUUUUAGUCGCAAAGUUUGAAAUGACGGUGUACGAUGGGACGGACGGGAUGCGACGUAAAACAUUAAAAUCGCUUUGCCGUCCAUAAAUCACGCGCCCGACUCGAAGUUUUAAAGCGAUUUCAAGAGGAAUUACUACGCAUAAACUUGGUAGGUAUACAUAAUAAUAUUAUAUAAGCGGCCGUUUGAUUGCCCUCGUCAUUAAGGACGAGUCGUCGGUAGGUAUACAAAAGUUAAAACUGUAGGAAAAUAGGUAUAUGUGUCUUUUGUUUAGAUAGUGUGAAUCCAAAUGUAGUUUCAUAAUUUCCUUUUGAAAACCGUUUUACAGCAUCUUAAAGGCAAAUUAGAAUAACGAAAACAAUAUUAGAAAUGUACAUAAAAUGUUCGUUUUUGUUCACCUUAUUUUCUCUGUGUAAUGAAAACGAACAAAUGAUAAAUUGCCCCGUCGCUAUUCAGGAGGCGAUAAAAAAAAAAAAAAAAAAAAAAAAAAAAAAAAAAGGAAAAAUACGAUUUACAAUUUGAAAAUCUAAAAGCGAUGUUAUAAAUAACGAGGCGCGUUAUAAUAAUGAUACCGCUUAAAAAAGACGGAGGUAAACUGCAGAAAUCCAAUAUACUUGAAACUUAUUUAUAUAUAUAUAUACGAGUAUUUAUAGUGACCUAUUAUUGUACGAGAUUAAUCGUCGGUUCAAGAUCGAAAAAAAAUAUAUUACUAUUACUUUUGUCGCGGUUAGUAUUCGCACGUCAUGACGGCCGACUGUACGACGGAAAUCAUUGUUUCUGAACAAAAGUGCAGUUAUAACCGUUAACAAUAUCCUUUGUUCUUGCCAAAGCCGUUCGUAAAUAUAAUGUCCGUAAAAACCGGCGCGAGAACACCAAUAAAUAUAAUAUUUGGUAGGUUCGAAUAAACAUUCCGUUUUCAGAAUCUGUACAUUAAUUCUGCGGACAUUAACGUUACCGAUACUGUUACCCGAAACAAAAUCUUACCCGACGUUGGUUUUGCACAACGGACCGGGAAUUUAUUUUCUAUUAAUUUCCGCC